rnacentral:rRNA from 1 species
CAGUCGCCGCGGUAAUACGAAGGGUGCAAGCGUUAAUCGGAAUUACUGGGCGUAAAGCGUGCGUAGGCGGUUUGUUAAGUCUGCUGUGAAAUCCCCGGGCUCAACCUGGGAAUGGCAGUGGAUACUGGCAAGCUAGAGUGUGUCAGAGGAUGGUGGAAUUCCCGGUGUAGCGGUGAAAUGCGUAGAGAUCGGGAGGAACAUCAGUGGCGAAGGCGGCCAUCUGGGACAACACUGACGCUCAGGUGCGAAAGCGUGGGGAGCAAACAGGAUUAGAUACCCCAGUAGUCCCUGUCUCUUAUAC